GACGAACGCUGGCGGCGUGCUUAACACAUGCAAGUCGAACGAAGAGCGACGGAAGCUUGCUUCUAUCAAUCUUAGUGGCGAACGGGUGAGUAACGCGUAAUCAACCUGCCCUUCAGAGGGGGACAACAGUUGGAAACGACUGCUAAUACCGCAUACGAUCUAAUCUCGGCAUCGAGGAUGGAUGAAAGGUGGCCUCUACAUGUAAGCUAUCACUGAAGGAGGGGAUUGCGUCUGAUUAGCUAGUUGGAGGGGUAACGGCCCACCAAGGCGAUGAUCAGUAGCCGGUCUGAGAGGAUGAACGGCCACAUUGGGACUGAGACACGGCCCAGACUCCUACGGGAGGCAGCAGUGGUGAAUCUUCCGCAAUGGACGAAAGUCUGACGGAGCAACGCCGCGUGAGUGAUGACGGCCUUCGGGUUGUAAAGCUCUGUUAAUCGGGACGAAAGGCCUUCUUGCGAAUAGUGAGAAGGAUUGACGGUACCGGAAUAGAAAGCCACGGCUAACUACGUG
rnacentral:rRNA from 1 species